UCAUACCUAUUCGAAGGGAUAGGGUCGGUUCGGCCGGAUUUCACACAAGUGUUGCAUGGCUGUCGUCAGCUCGUGUCGUGAGAUGUUGGGUUAAGUCCCGCAACGAGCGCAACCCUCAUCCUUAGUUGCUAUCAGGUAAUGCUGAGUACUUUAAGGAAACUGCCAGUGAUAAGCUGGAGGAAGGUGGGGAUGAUGUCAAGUCAUCAUGGCCUUUAUGGAGUGGGCUACACACGUGCUACAAUGGUGUCUACAAUGGGUUGCAAGGUGCGCAAGCCUAAGCUAAUCCCUAAAAGACAUCUCAGUUCGGAUUGUACUCUGCAACUCGAGUACAUGAAGUUGGAAUCGCUAGUAAUCGUGGAUCAGCAUGCCACGGUGAAUACGUUCUCGGGUCUUGUACACACUGCCCGUCACGCCAUGGGAAUUGGUUUCACUCGAAGC
rnacentral:rRNA from 1 species